rnacentral:lncRNA from 1 species
AAAAAUUGGUUGUCAUCAAAGCGGCUGAAUAUUUUGUGCUAUUAUGUAAGCUAUGAUAGAUUUUAUUUCUUUCUGAUAAUAUUUGCACUUAAUUAGGGCCUCUUGGAAAUUAUGUUUACUGGAAGGACGGACUCUGCUGAUAGAAAUUUGGGACGCGUUGAAGAAGUUAUUUGGAAGACCCAAAGGACUUUCAACCUAAGGACUUUGUAUUCUGCUCACGACGGGUGAGGUGACCACACAUUACAGAGGCAGUUGAGGGUCAGCCUCUGGGAUUUUGAAUCCCAGCUCCACCUUACAAUCGGAGUGAACCUGAGUCUUGCUGGUGGAAGGAGUUUUUAAAUGUGAUACGAAAUAGGAUAACUACGGACCCAAUUGAAAGAGAUACAGAAUCUCAGGGAUUGAAUGAGUUUUGGGGUCCACUGACAAUGGUGACUGACAUUUCUUCCACUUGCAAAGUCAAGAGGAAAGAAACAAGGAAAAACAAUCAGAUGUUGUGUGUGAAUACACGCAUCCAGGCAUCGCUCACCACCUCAACACAUGAAGUGCCAUACGUUUACAGAGGCUAA